rnacentral:Y_RNA from 1 species
GGCUGGCCCAAAGGUAGUGAGUUAUCUCACUUGAUUAUUCACAGUCAGUUACAGAUUGAACUCCUUGUUCUACUCUUUCCCCCUUCUCAUUACUGCACUUGACUAGUCUAAA